ACUGGUGCCUCGUUAAAGGAAAUUUGGUUGCUGGAUCAUUAGGUUUGUUUUCAGUUCUACGUUUCUCAGUCUACCUCUUCUUGUUGGCUUUCACAUCACCCAACACGACACAGAAACUCAUUUUGACUGUGUCCAUUAGUGCAGUUUGAAUUGUAGUUAGAGUAAACAGAGAGCGUUUUCAUCAGCGCCUUCUUCCACAUCACAGACUGGACCAGCACUUCCAUGUCACACUUGGCAAAAUCCAAGAUUACACAUCUCCACCAUAACAGUAUAUGAGUUUGUAAAUAGACUACAACAUCAGCCUUCUGCUCAAGGAUUCCUACCUCAAGACUGAGCUGAAGGUGUUGGCCUAUUCAUCCGUACAGAAUUGGAUUAACUCCAAACACAGGAAGAGAACUGACUUUGAAAGUGCUGCUUCGAGCUCAUCUUGGGUGUUCGACAUCAGUGUAACAAUACUACGAGAUAGAGACUCCCGAACAAAGGGGCCCCAUCGCUGUUUUCAUUACCUCAGCUCCACUCAUUCCAACAACCGAGAGCUCCGCACAGCAAGAAAUCACACCAGUGAGCCUGUCACCCACACAGCCAAUAUCACAGUCAAACCACACACCGGGUUCAGUCACAGGGCAGAGAGCGAAAGCAGGCAGGAGGAAGGAUGAAAUGAGAGAGGAGGAGGAGGGAGUCAACAAGGGUAAAAAUGUGCGACUGGUACAUGUCCUCCUAGCCCAGAGCGGUAUGUUUCUAAUCCUGCAUACAUUUCUAAAUUGACAACAGAGCUAGUUGUUGAAGGAGGAAUAACAAAAUGAGAUGUUGAGGAGUGAGCAAUGUUGGAAGUGUGAGUAGUAGUCCAUGGAAAACCACAUCAGAGCCGUGCAAUAUGAAUAAACCAUAGUGGCCUUUCUACAUGAGAAUCCACCUCACCAGAUCUGACAGUCCUGCUUCCUUCCUGCGAGAGCCAGUGAAGUGCUGCAAGAUGCAACAUCAGCACCACAACACCGGCGGUUUAGGAGCCCAUUUAUUAUUCCAGCAUUUCGAAAUGACUCACAGAAUUAUGUAUAAUCCAGGUAAAGCAGUCUCUCCCGAGACAAACUUCAGAGUGAACUUCAGAGAAGGUGGUAAAUUAUCAGGUUCCAGACUGCAGCAUUUGGGUCUUUCUCACCCUCCUGCUUUGUAAAAGCACAUUUCAGACUUGUCUACACAUAAUUUUUCACUUGUUUCUGUGGACACUCCCACACAGAAACAACUUCAGUGAAGCGAUUUGGGCACACAUUAACAGAGCAGGUUGUGACUGCAGAUAAGUAAGUUUUCUCAAUGCCCAUUUCUCAAGAACUGACAUUUUUUUGGUACUUGGAAGAAACUUCUAACACUGUUCUGUGGUGUUGGUGAAAGACAAUCUGGUGAUUCGAGACUUUUUGUACAUCCAUGUAAGUUUCACAUUUGUCCCUCUUACAACACCUUUUGUUGGGAUUUAAUGUGAAGUACAAUGUUUGCCCCAUAUGGUCAUGCUCUUAAGUUUUCAAACAUUUAUUACAAAUACAAUCCCAAAAGGGAGCGAAUGUGUCCAGCUCCCUUGGCUCUUGUACCCUUAAGUCCUGAACACAAAUCUGUAAAUUCUAAGUCAAAGGUAUUUUUGUUUGUCUUUCUGUAACUAUUUUUAUUUCCUUUUACAGAAUUAAGUUUCUCACUUUUAUGGACCCUUUUAAGGCGAUGCCAGCACUCAGUUUCACAGCAGAACAAUACAAGACACAUUACACUUCCUCCACCAUUUUUGAAUACUGCUGCCAUCUCCUGAGAUAUUUUUUCUUUGUGAGUUUAACACAGUUUUCUGGAACCUCUUUCACUUUAUGGCAACUAUUUAUUUUUUAAAAGAACAUUACAAUCGUGAGUGGUGCUAAUAUGUCAACCCUGAUUCAUUUGAACUUUUUCAAAUACAACGUGUUAUUCUGUUGCUUGUUUACAAUAUAUCCAUUCCACUCUUGGUAGCGUCUCGUCACUGUGCACAUCCAACAAUACAUCCCUUCUCAAAAUCUCUCGGCUUACGGUUGAAACCAGGUAUUUACCUUCAAUUUGUAAAUGGAACAAACAUUUUUUUCUGACACUAAGUCAAACUAACCUCUUAGUUUUAGAAUUUAUUUUUGAUUUUUAGCUGUUGCUUAAAUGAAGAAGUUUACAUUUUCGUCUUGUAAUAUUUAAAAGAAUUUGCUAUAACUUUACCCAUUCUUUCAGACAAAACUGGUGAAACUGAGUUUGUUUAAUACAUUGUGAUUGCUCAUCCAAAACUUUUCUUAUUUGGCACUAUGAUGAAGGUCUCUGUCCAUUUGGAGGACCAAUUCAUGACCAAGCUUUUACUUCCUGUCUCGAGAUAUUGCUUCAGUAGUUCCAUUUAAUUUUGUUUACUGUAUUUUGUGAAGUGCACCAGUCCCUCCUGCAGCACAACACCCACACAUGAUGCCACUGGGUUUAAAAAUGAAUUAAUCCCAACUCAUCUAAAAAGAUGGUUAGUCU